rnacentral:rRNA from 1 species
GAUCAUGGCUCAGGAUGAACGCUGGCGGCGUGCCUAACACAUGCAAGUCGAGCGAUCUUCUUCGGAAGAGAGCGGCGGACGGGUGAGUAACGCGUGGGUAACCUGCCCUGUACACACGGAUAACAUACCGAAAGGUAUGCUAAUACGAGAUAAUAUGCUUUUGUCGCAUGGUAGAAGUAUCAAAGCUCCGGCGGUACAGGAUGGACCCGCGUCUGAUUAGCUAGUUGGUAAGGUAACGGCUUACCAAGGCGACGAUCAGUAGCCGACCUGAGAGGGUGAUCGGCCACAUUGGAACUGAGACACGGUCCAAACUCCUACGGGAGGCAGCAGUGGGGAAUAUUGCACAAUGGGCGAAAGCCUGAUGCAGCAACGCCGCGUGAGCGAUGAAGGCCUUCGGGUCGUAAAGCUCUGUCCUCAGGGAAGAUAAUGACGGUACUUGAGGAGGAAGCCCCGGCUAACUACGUG